UACGAAGGGUGCAAGCGUUAAUCGGAAUUACUGGGCGUAAAGCGUGCGUAGGCGGUGAGUUAAGUCUGUUGUGAAAUCCCCGGGCUCAACCUGGGAACUGCAUUUGUGACUGCAUGGCUAGAGUACGGUAGAGGGGGAUGGAAUUCCGCGUGUAGCAGUGAAAUGCGUAGAUAUGCGGAGGAAUACCGAUGGCGAAGGCAAUCCCCUGGACCUGUAUUGACGCUCAUGCACGAAAGCGUGGGGAGCAAACAGG
rnacentral:rRNA from 1 species